AUUCUCCUGCCUCAGCCUCCCGAGUAGCUGGGACUACAGGCACCCGCCACCAUGCCCAGGGUGCCCUGCUCUAGGACGUCAGGCCCGGAAUCCCAGGAAGCAGGGGAGGAGAGGGAGGUACCUCUUCAUUCCAGGCCCAGGAUACAGCCCAGCUCUGCCGUGGUUGCGCACAGUGACGAUCUAUCUCUGCCUCUCAGGCCAGGAACAUGUUUUCAACGAGACCCACAAAGCGCAGUCACUGACCCUGUGCCCAGACACCUUGUGUAGAUCCGUGCUUAGCAAACUCAGAAGGCCCUGUCACCAGCAGGAAGGAAGAGACCCCACGACUGAGGGCAGUGGGCUAUGAGAUUUGUGACCCUUUCCUCUGCCUGCCUCUGCCCCUGCCCCUUGGGACCCUGCUGGACCAGGCAUCCAUCCUAUGGAACUUUCCAUGAAGCGUUGACCUCCCUGCCCCUGAGGCAUUGGGUGAGUGGCAGACAGGGGCCAGGAAAUGGAAUGAAAGCAGCCAGUCUCUGAAGAGCUGGAGACCAUCAUCUGCCUCGGGAAGCCCAGGGAACCUCGGCUCAGACAGGACAGAGACUGUGGGAAGGGAGGAGACUGUGACAGAGAAGCAGAGGAGGGUGACAGAGUCAGGGAAGAACAAAACAGCCUGCAGUGGGAGCAGAGACAAAAAUGUGGGGGACCCACAGG